rnacentral:rRNA from 1 species
CCCAGACUCCUACGGGAGGCAGCAGUGGGGGAUAUUGCACAAUGGGGGGAACCCUGAUGCAGCGACGCCGCGUGGGUGAAGGAGCGUUUCGGCGCGUAAAGCCCUAUCGGCAGGGAAGAAGGAGGACGGUACCUGACUAAGAAGCCCCGGCUAACUACGUGCCAGCAGCCGCGGUAAUACGUAGGGGGCAAGCGUUAUCCGGAUUUACUGGGUGUAAAGGGGGCGCAGACGGCAGCGCAAGCCAGGAGUGAAAGCCCGGGGCCCAACCCCGGGACUGCUCUUGGAACUGCGCGGCUGGAGUGCAGGAGGGGCAGGCGGAAUUCCUGGUGUAGCGGUGAAAUGCGUAGAUAUCAGGAGGAACACCGGUGGCGAAGGCGGCCUGCUGGACUGCGACUGACGUUGAGGCCCGAAAGCGUGGGGAGCAAACAGGAUUAGAUACCCCUGUAUG